GGAGCCGGCCAGGCGACCGCGGCGGGUCCUGCGUGGCCCCGCCGAGGAAAGUCCGGACUCCGCAGGGCAGGACGCUGGGUAACGCCCAGGCGCGGCGACGCGCGGAGAGUGCCACAGAGAGCAGACCGCCAGGGGCCCGGCACGCCGGGUACCGGUGAGGGUGAAAGGGUGCGGUAAGAGCGCACCGGCGCCGACGGUGACGUGGGCGGCCAGGUAAACCCCGUCCGGAGCAAGGCCAAGCAGGUGCGUUCGCAGGUGGCCCGCCAAGCACCAGGUAGGCCGCACGAGGCCGGCGGUGACGCCGGUCCCAGAUAGAUGGUCGCCGCCCGCGACAGCGGGCACAGAAUCCGGCUUACCGGCCGGCUCCCCCU
rnacentral:RNase_P_RNA from 1 species